rnacentral:rRNA from 1 species
AAACAAGUAUUAAAGGUCCCGCCUGCCCAGUGAAAUAUUUUAAACGGCCGCGGUAUCCUAACCGUGCAAAGGUAGCGUAAUCACUUGUCUUCUAAAUAAAGACUAGUAUGAACGGCUAAAUGAGGACAAACCUGUCUCUUACAGCUAAUCAGUGAAACUGAUCUUUCAGUACAAAAGCUGAAAUAAACACAUAAGACGAGAAGACCCUGUGGAGCUUUAAACAAACAGCUAAUAGACACCUAUAGUGUACCUAGCCUUAAGUUUUAAGUUGGGGCGACUUCGGAACCAAACAAAACUUCCGAGCACAGAAUCACCACUUCUCACCAAGGCCAACAAGCCAAAGUAUUAAGCCGACCCAGUCAUACUGAUCAACGAACCAAGUUACCCCAGGGAUAACAGCGCUAUCUUCUUCAAGAGUCCCUAUCGACAAGAAGGUUUACGACCUCGAUGUUGGAUCAGGACACCCAAAUGGUGCAGCCGCUAUUAAAGGUUCGUUUGUUCAACGAUUAACAG